rnacentral:misc_RNA from 1 species
GCAUGGUCAAUGUUUCUCUGACAUUCAUUGUCUUUGUUAAUGGCUUUGCCUUUUUCUAACCUGUAGUUCACUGUUAUUAGAAGGACCAUUUAUGUAUGAAUUUUUGCCUGAUGGAUGGGUGAUAUUGAAUUUCAUUGAUUGAGUUUGUUUCUGCCAAAUGAAAAUAUCAGUUAAUAAUAUUGGUUGACUGGACGAUGACUCUUGAUUUGUUGCAAAAACCUAGUUCAUUUAAUUGUAGAUCAAGAGAUUUGUGUUUUGCCUCUGAGAUUUGGAUGUACUUGCGUUGAUUGUCAUUCUACCAGUUAAACACUCAUCAGAUACUUGUGGAACUGCUUAUUGUGUUUCUCUUACCUAGGAAAGAAAAUUGUGCUUACCUACCUGACCCAUUAAUAGUUAUAGUUACUUAAUUCUGAUUUGUGUGUUCUUU